UACGUAGGGUGCAAGCGUUAAUCGGAAUUACUGGGCGUAAAGCGUGCGCAGGCGGUGAUGUAAGACAGAUGUGAAAUCCCCGGGCUUAACCUGGGAACUGCAUUUGUGACUGCAUCGCUGGAGUGCGGCAGAGGGGGAUGGAAUUCCGCGUGUAGCAGUGAAAUGCGUAGAUAUGCGGAGGAACACCGAUGGCGGAAGGCAAUCCCCUGGGCCUGCACUGACGCUCAUGCACGAAAGCGUGGGGAGCAAACAGG
rnacentral:rRNA from 1 species